rnacentral:misc_RNA from 1 species
CACGCGUGAUGAGGCGGCCGCGGUGGCGGGCCGGCAGGGGGCGGGGUCGCUAGUGGGGAUGGCGGGCCCGACUGAGCGCGAGAGAAGCGACCCCAGCGUGGUCCGAUGGGACGACAACAAGUCGGGCGACCCCGGCGGGGUCCGGUGGGAAGACCGACCCCAAGAGCGCGAGAGAGACCCGUCAGUAGUGCGAUGGGACGAUGCGAAAGAAGUCCGCUUCCCGUCACCCCCGCUGCCUCCCCUGAUCCUGCAGAACCGCUCACAUUCCCGCUCGAUGUCCUCGUUGCCCCCGGAGCCCUUCAUGAUCAUGCGGUCCAAGGCGCUGAACCGGCGAGUCUGCAUCAACGUGGGAGGGGUGAAGCACGAGGUCCUGUGGCGUACCUUGGAGAGACUCCCUCACACACGCCUGGGCCGCCUCCGGGACUGCAACACCCACGAGGCCAUCACGGAACUGUGCGACGACUACUCGCUCAUUGACAACGAAUACUUCUUUGACCGCCACCCCAAGUCUUUUUCGUCCAUCCUGAACUUUUACCGGACCGGGAAGCUCCAUCUCGUGGACGAAAUGUGCGUUUUGGCCUUUAGUGACGACCUGGAGUACUGGGGGGUGGACGAGCUCUACCUGGAGUCGUGCUGCCAGCACAAGUACCAUCAACGCAAGGAGCACGUCCACGAGGAGAUGCGCAAGGAGGCGGAGUCACUCAGGCAGCGAGACGAAGAGGAAUUCGGGGAAGGCAAGUGUGCUCAUUACCAGCAGUUCCUGUGGGACCUCCUGGAGAAACCGACCACUUCCAUCGCCGCCCGGGUGAUAGCCGUUAUCUCAAUAUUAUUCAUCGUAUUGUCCACGAUAGCCCUGACGCUGAACACAAUACCUCAGAUGCAAGUGAAUGACGAGAAAGGUGCCGUCCAAGACAAUCCUCAGCUGGCGAUGGUGGAGGCCGUCUGUAUCACGUGGUUCACCCUCGAGUACGUGUUGAGGUUCAGUGCAUCUCCGAACAAGUGGAAGUUCUUCAAGGGUGGCCUAAACGUUAUAGAUCUGUUAGCGAUUCUUCCGUAUUACGUAUCGUUAUUUCUCGUUGAGACCAAUAAAAACGCAACGGACCAAUUUCAAGACGUGAGGAGGGUCGUACAGAUCUUCAGGAUCAUGAGGAUACUGAGGAUCCUGAAACUGGCGAGGCACUCUACAGGCCUCCAGAGUCUCGGGUUCACCUUGAGAAACUCGUACAAAGAGUUGGGUCUUCUGAUGCUCUUCCUCGCGAUGGGAGUUCUGAUCUUCUCGAGCCUCGCUUACUUCGCCGAGAAGGAGGAACCAGGCACCAAGUUUAUCUCGAUCCCGGAGACCUUCUGGUGGGCAGGGAUCACCAUGACCACAGUCGGAUAUGGAGACAUCUACCCCACUACUCCAUUGGGGAAAGUGAUCGGUAGUGUCUGCUGUAUCUGUGGAGUCCUGGUCAUUGCGUUGCCCAUUCCCAUCAUAGUCAACAACUUCGCCGAGUUCUACAAGAAUCAGAUGCGGCGCGAGAAGGCGCUCAAGCGUCGGGAGGCCUUGGAGAGGGCCAAGCGCGAGGGCAGUAUCGUCUCCUUCCAUCACAUCAAUCUUCGAGACGCCUUCGCCAAGAGCAUGGACCUGAUAGACGUCAUUGUGGACACAGACGCGGUUCUUGGGCAUAACAUGGCGGCCCCAGACGGUAACAGCACGGAGGGGGAGAGCGGAAGUGUCAAUCCGGCACAAACCGGACCGGGGUGCUAUCGUAACCACGAGCACUUCACGUCCCGACAUAGACGACCCCCAGUGCAGCCCCCCCUGCUGGACCUGGAGCCCCCCGAGGCCCCCCCGCAACCGCAGUCACCUCCUCACAACCCCCCUCCCACUAGCCCGGGGAAUGAUAGCGCGGCACUGGCUAGGCUUGAUGAUUUUCCCAGUGAGUUCGAGUGUUGUUUUUGCAAUACAAAGGACUACAAAGAAUUCAUUGAUGCCGAAAGCUUGAUGCCGUUGGCCACUAGCGACUUCAAGAACCCAAUCUGCUUAGAGAUGAAGCUGCUGCGGAGCGGAAGGGGGCUGGAGCUGGCCGGGGGGGUCGGUGGGGGCCUACUGGGAAUGGGUGGGGGCGUCAUGGACGUCGGCAGCGUGGAUAGCUCUGACACCUACGCAAGCUGCAACACUCAGCCUUUCAACUCUCAGGGGGACCUGACAGAGACGCCCUGUGAUCCUCUGGACAGCAACCUCUACAUUAACCCCUUGGAGAGCCCGAGUCCCCGUGGGGGCGUGAAGAAGAGCGCCAGCGGAGAUACGGCCCUCAGGAGUCUGGGGGCGUCCCCCCUCGAGGAGGCUUACCGGGGCUUCGGUGCUCCAGAGCGAGGCAGCCGAGGAAGCCUGAAUGAUACGCCACUGCCAAAACAUCGGAAAACGAGAUUCCAACAGGUUCUUGGAUCUUCGCUUGAAAUUCAAGAAUUCCGUUUAAAGGCUAUUAUCACUCACCUGGAUGGAUAUAACAGGAUUGACUUAUGACUGAUAUGUUGCUACACAAAUAACAUAAACUUGUGUACUCAUCUCUUAUACUAAAGUUCUAUGCAAAUUUUCAUAACAGACCCUCAGCCAAAGCUGGGAGAAUCGAUAGGACGAGAAUCGCAGGAGAGUCUGGAGACAAUCAAGCGACGAAGGCCUUCGUUCAUGCCCACCAAGUCAAUUGCCACAGCCACGAGAAUUAUCAACCAACAUCUUUUUGGGC